CUAGUAUUUGUUCAUACACAAAGGUUAUUCCUGUUUAUAUCCCAAUCAAAUUACUCGAUCAGUGUAAGACUUAAAAGAGUGUUAACUGGCUUAAUGCUGGUGAAAGAGUAGGUAACCAGUAUUAAACUAACAUGAGUUAAAUUGGCAAAAAAAAAUGCUUCUGCAUUUUUUGUUCUACACUUGUUUUAGUUGUCGCUUGAACUGAUGCCUCUUUCAGUGUGCUAGUGGUGCUCUCUGCUUGGGCAUUGAUGCGAGUCUUUGAAGCUUGCAAUGUGCGAAAAAGAGCACUACCGGUCCUGAUGAACAAAGCUGAUUGGUUGAGGAAAAUAUGAN
rnacentral:lncRNA from 1 species